rnacentral:rRNA from 1 species
UACCGGGCGACCGGAUGCGGAUCUCGAAAGCCUGUCCCAGUUCGGACUGGAGUCUGCACCCCGACUCCACGAAGUUGGAUUCGCUAGUAAUCGCGCAUCAGCCAUGGCGCGGUGAAUACGUUCCCGGGCCUUGUACACACCGCCCGUCAAGCCAUGGGAGCCGGGGGCGCCUGAAGUCCGGGACCGCGAGGACCGGCCUAGGGCGAAACUGGUAACUGGGGCUAAGUCGUAACAAGGUACC